GUUGUUUGUUUUUAAGGAGAAUCAGGCGGAUAAAACAGAGAAAUAACUCACUGUCACAGAUUGAUCAUCACAGUCCCCCUCAUAACAAAACAUGUGAUGUUGACUUGACAUGUAAUGAAAUGUAUGAGAAUAUAAGGAUUGCUAAUGACAGCUGUCAUGAUUCAGACUCAAGUUCUCCUGACUAUGAGAAUGUUACAGUAUUAGAGUAAGUUUCUGUAAGUCCAACUCCUUCCACACCUUUUUUUACUCGUGUAAUAUUUCAGUUGAACAGAGAGAUGCUGUAGAGGCCAAUAAAAAACACACAAAAAACAUUUGACAUCCCUUAAAAGCAUUGUGUGGGCGGAGCUCUCGAUGAUUGACAGAAGUCAGACCUGACAUGACCAAUUUGACAACCCUGAUACACACCUGCGAAAGACGUCUAUUUAAUGUCUGCAUUUACAUCUGCAAGUGUUUGUUCAUCUGCAAUACAUCUCAGAGAUGUCAGAUGUCACAUAGACAUGAUGUCUCAUAAGAUGUUUUUGAUUUAGAAUUAAUGUAAAACUGGCGUUUAUCAGAUGUUUUCCAGAUCUUUAGCAGACGCAGGGGCAGCGCCAGGACUUUUUUCUUGGGGGUGCUAAGGUGGCUUAACAGUUUAGAGGGUGGGCUAAUAAAAUUGUUCAAUUAAUAAAUGAAGAUAAAUCUCUUAUAUUAUAAAUAUGAUUAUUAAUAUAAAACAAUGUAUUAUUAACUGUUUGUUUUUGAUCAGCUGCCCACAUACAUCUAUGUUGUAUUUCUUUUGUUUCAUUUUUUUACAUUAAUUUCAUUAUCAUUACUUCCCCAUGGAUGUAUUUGUUAUCUUUUACUAUUUUAAUACAUUUAUCCAUUUAUUACAUGUAUUCAUUUAUUUAUAUGCUGCAUGUGACCCUGCCUGUAAAAACCCAGCAAAAAUGUUUUAUUGCUAUAUAAUGUAAAGAGCAUUCAGUGAAAGUAUAAUCUUGAUAUAUUUUAUAUUGAAUGAAAAAGACCAUGUCAAAAAUUAAAACAAUCGUGAAAUUAAUUAUUGAAAUGUAUUUAUUGACUUAAGCCUGGUUUUCACACACAGA